UUCACUGGUAUAUACUGUACAUAUAUUCUCUUAACUCUUAUUGACUCACAGAUUGAUUCAGUGGAUUGUGGUCUAAAGGGGAAACUGUCAAGAGUGGAGUGCAUGGUGUGAUUCCAUUGAUAAACUCUGUAAAAGGUGUGAGACCAUUGAUUGAGAGAUACAGGACUCACAACAAUUCAAGGACUUCUACCAGUUUACGUUUAAUGUUGCCAAAAAUCCAGGGCAGAAAGGACUAUGCUAGUGACAUAAUAUUAUACAUGUACAUGUACAUGUAGGAUCAUGUUUGCUAAACUUGCCACACAAUGAUUUCAAUGUACACGUGUUGAUGGGGGAAUUUUGCAAGUGAUGCUACUAAAAUUUGAGAGUACAUGUACAUGUAUAAUUUAAUGUAUAUUGUAUGAAUUGAUUAAAAUCUUUUGUGCUUUUUAUUUCUCUACAGAUCUUGAAAUGGCCAUUGCCAACUGGAAUCUUAUUUUUACUGGUCACUUCAAAUUUUUGGACUUGUGGUGUGAAUUUUUAAGAUCUCAUUAUAAAAGAGCUGGUAAUACCUAAAGACACUUGGAAUUUUCUGCUGGAGUUUUCAAACAGGAUUGAUGACACCAUCAGUAAUUAUGAUGAAGAUGGUAGGUCUAUACUGUAUUAAUUGUAAUG